rnacentral:rRNA from 1 species
CGAGCCACCUGGGAAGUACGGCCGCAAGGAUGAAACUUAAAGGAAUUGGCGGGGGAGCACUACAACGGGUGGAGCCUGCGGUUUAAUUGGAUUCAACGCCGGAAAUCUCACCGGGGGCGACAGCAUGAUGAAGGCCAGGCUGAAGACCUUGCCUGAUCCGCUGAGAGGUGGUGCAUGGCCGUCGUCAGUUCGUACUGUGAAGCAUCCUGUUAAGUCAGGCAACGAGCGAGACCCACGCCCACAGUUGCCAGCGAGCCCUUCGGGGUGGCGGGUACUCUGUGGGGACCGCCGCUGCUAAAGCGGAGGAAGGAAUGGGCAACGGUAGGUCAGUAUGCCCCGAAUCUCCCGGGCCACACGCGGGCUACAAUGGUCGGUACAAUGGGUAUCUACCCCGAGAGGGGAUGGAAAUCUCCUAAAACCGGUCGUAGUUCGGAUUGAGGGCUGCAACUCGCCCUCAUGAAGCUGGAAUCCGUAGUAAUCGCGUUUCAACAGAACGCGGUGAAUACGUCCCUGCUCCUUGCACACACCGCCCGUCAAACCACCCGAGUAGGGUCUGGAUAAGGGUGCGCCAUGUUGACGCAUUCGAAUCUGGGCUUUGCAAGGGGGGUUAAGUCGUAACAAGGUAACCAAGGGCGAAU